CCGGGAAUCGAACCCGGGACCCCUAUAUCACUAGUCAGGUGCUCUACCUACUGAGCUAUCCAGGCCGAUAUCCACGCCCCUAACCAUUACACGUGCAAUAAAAUUGCAUGACGCAACAGAAAAGUAAGGACAAUUUUCAUUGGUUAGAAAUAACGAAAGUAGCCGGAGCGGUCGUAAUGCACACAUUGACACAACUUCGCAAGCAUGAAAUUGGCGAAUUCAACCUAAAGUCAAAAUUAUAGGUACGCAUGAUCGAUGUAACUUCCUUGAUGGUGUGUUGGCUGUUUGCCCAUGUGUAUUUCGGGGUAUAGGAGUAGCCUCCCCUUUUAAAGAUCCAAAAUGGUGAUUUUACAGUGCGGCAUGCAGUCUGUCAUCAACGAAGAGUUUUGACACCUGUAAUACCCAUAUUUCUACCAUUCACCUCUGUAACCUUUGUUGAGUUCAUCAGACUGUCCAAGACAGGAAGUUGAGGAAUAAAGUUGACAGGACAUCCUGAACUGUCCUCGCUACCAGCUUAUGAGGGAACCAGCUGCAGUGGACAAAGUACGUUACAUCAUAGAAUAAUAGCAUUGAAUUGGAUUCUAACCAGAGCCAUGUGAACCUGGUCCACCUGUACCUCUCAUUGAAGACCUGUUAACAUCACCAGAGUAUGUUCAUUCUGAUACCCCUAUGGUAUGGUUACAGCAUGCAUUAUCCCUGAAUCCAUUAAAAGAGCUGCAUUGGCAACGAAACAACCCAAUGUGGUCGAUUGUAAGGAAAUAUAGCAUAUCAGCUUCCAACUUUGGUCAGUUCUCAGUUCUAAGCAAAGGCGAUUGACAUUGUCACUGAAGAAACAGCUGAUGUCGGCUUACAAUCUGGAGUCCAUCAAGGCUGUUGCAUGGGGUAUCACUCAUGAAGAUGAUGCUUUGAGAAAGUAUGAAAAGGACUUAGAUGCAGCUGUAGAGCAGUCAGGUAUACAGCACAAAAUAAUAUUCCUUCAAUCUCUGACAUGUUAACAUUCAUUGUGUCAAAACAAAUAACAGGACUUA